UUCCGGUUGAUCCUGCCGGAGGCUACCGCUAUUGGAGUUCGAUUAAGCCAUGCGAGUCGCGAGAAAUUAGAUUCUCGGCGUACCGCUCAGUAACACGUGGGUAACCUGCCCUAUGCUGGAUAAUAACCUCGGGAAACUGAGAAUAAUGAUCCAUAGUUCACUACGCCUGGAACGGUGAGUGGAUGAAAGCCCCGGCGGCAUAGGAUGGGCCUGCGGCGUAUCAGGUUGUAGGGGGUGUAACGUACCCUCUAGCCCUCUACGCGUACGGGUGUUGGGAGACAUAGCCCGGAGAUGGAUUCUGAGACACGAAUCCAGACCCUACGGGGUGCAGCAGGCGCGAAAACUUGGCAAUGCGAGAAAUCGUGACCAGGGAACUCCAAGUGCAUCGGGUAAGACCGGUGCUUUUCUUGACUCUAAAUAGGUCUUGGAAUAAGGGGUGGGUAAGGACGGUGCCAGCCGCCGCGGUAAUACCGGCGCCUCAAGUGGUAGUCGCUUUUAUUGGGCCUAAAACGUCCGUAGCCGGUCUGAUACAUUCGUGGGUAAAUCAACCAGCUCAACUGGUUGAAUUCUGCGAGGACGGUCAGACUUGGGACCGGGAGAGGUGUGGGGUACGCUCAGGGUAGGGGUAAAAUCCUGUCAUCCUGAGCGGACCACCUGUUGCGAAGGCGCCACACUAGAACGGAUCCGACGGUCAGGGACGAAGCCUAGGGGCACGAACCGGAUUAGAUACCCGGGUAGUCCUAGGUGUAAACGCUGUGGACUUGAUGUUGGGGGCGCUCCGAGCGCUUUCAGUGUCGAAGCGAAGGUGAUAAGUCCACUGCCUGGGAAGUACGGUCGCAAGGCUGAAACUUAAAGGAAUUGGCGGGGGAGCACCGCAACCUGAGGAUUGUGCGGUUUAAUUGGAUCAACGCCGGA
rnacentral:rRNA from 1 species